CGCGGCUCCUCUCCUCCUCACCUCCGCCUCCUCCACCUCCGCCUCGCAUCGCUGGCCUCAGCCGCCGCCGACCAGCACAGAGAAUGAUGCUGUUGAAAAUGUGCAGUUAUUAAGUACCCAGAAAGCAAAUUCACUGAGAACUGCUUCCCACCUGUGGAUUCUUCUGUUCAGCACAGAAUUAUUUUGGCAACUGAAGAAUUCUUCAUUGUGGAUGGCUGUGGGAAGAUACUAAUCCUGUUCUUCAAGUAAGAUGCAUUCACUGAUCUACUAGACCUGCUCCACCUCUACUGUUUUGUAUUGUGAGAGGAAAUCAAAGGAAUCUCAAGUGAUGAGGAAUCUCAAGUCAUUCUUACCCCUUUCUGCCUUUUUUUCAGCUGCCUUCUGCAGACAAGCUCAGAUGUCCCUUGCUCAAUAGGAGUAGAGCAGAGGGAGAUCUGUUGUGAGCUCUGCAUUAAGGCAAGUUCAGUUUUCCAUCUCUGGGCACUCCUUGAGAAAACCUCACUCAAAAUGGUUGCAUGGGGAUGGCAGAUCCCAGCCACAGACAGUUCACAGCUGCUUCACUGGAUGGAACAGCAAAAUGCCUCCUGGAGCUGAUCUGCAGUACAGGAGGAGAAAAUCAGAAUUUUCUUACUGGCUUCUGCUGUCUGAAUGUGCAUGGUGUUCUUUCAUGAGAGUUUCUCCAACAUUUGCUCUGAAUAAAGGUUGUUCCAGGGCACCUACAAAGCAGCGAGCCAUCCUGUUCCUACAGAUGUGGCAAGCUUGAAGAAUGUUGUAUUGGAGCAUUCAAACCCCAUGUCCUGUGUCAUUUGGGAGCUGUGUGGGAGAGAUGUGGUGAUGUAAGACACAUCCUUGGCCUUGGUGAAAAGAGUGCCUGUACCUCUGGAGUCUCACAGGGUUUGAGGCACGACCCUGCAGUGUGGUCAGCAUUUCCACAGCUACCUCAGCCAGUGGAGGUUCCAUUACUGAAUUUUCCCUCUUGUAUGAUCAGCAGAACCAAACACACACUGCCCUGGAGCUCAGCAGUUCCUGGUCCUGUAUCUUCCACACAAAUCAGCUUCAACUAACAGGGAGGUUUCACUGCCGCAUCAGCGACUUGGCAGCCAGCACGGCCAUGUCUCUGUCCCUGCAGGAGGGUUCCUGAGCUGCAAAGGCAGAGGUGUCCCUGCAGGAGGGUUCCUGAGCUGUAAAGGCAGGGAUGUCACGUCCUCAGCCACUGCAGUGACAUCCAGGAGUCCCCCGAGAGCCAGGGCUGCCGUGGCCUACUUUGUGCAGAUGAUUGGAGCAUGCUGGAUCCUGCGCCUCCAACAGCAUCCUUCCAGCAGUGUCAGCUACAGAAUCCAUCAGACUGGGAAUGCUCCUGGUGGUUAGCCCUGCCAGGCCAUGGCUCUAUCCCUGUCCUCUUGGUUUUGAAAUAAAAUACAUAUUGGUGCUGAUGGAUGAGAAAGCACAAAUGAAGUGACAUUCUAUAAAACCAUCAGCUCUG